rnacentral:rRNA from 1 species
AUUGAACGCUGGCGGAGUGCUUUACACAUGCAAGUCGAACGGCAGCACGGACUUCGGUCUGGUGGCGAGUGGCGAACGGGUGAGUAAUACAUCGGAACGUGCCCAGUCGUGGGGGAUAACGUAGCGAAAGCUACGCUAAUACCGCAUACGAUCUAAGGAUGAAAGCGGGGGAUCGCAAGACCUCGCGCGAUUGGAGCGGCCGAUGGCAGAUUAGGUAGUUGGUGGGGUAAAGGCUCACCAAGCCGACGAUCUGUAGCUGGUCUGAGAGGACGAGCAGACACACUGGGACUGAGACACGGCCCAGACGCGUACGGGAGGCAGCAGUGGGGAAUUUUGGACAAUGGGCGCAAGCCUGAUCCAGCCAUUCCGCGUGCAGGAUGAAGGCCCUCGGGUUGUAAACUGCUUUUGUACGGAACGAAAAGGCUCUGGUUAAUACCUGGGGCUCAUGACGGUACCGUAAGAAUAAGCACCGGCUAACUACGUGCCAGCAGCCGCAGUAA